ensembl:lncRNA
UUCCAAAAAAUAAUCUCCCCCAGCUCAGCCACGUUUCCAGGCAGGAGGGGAUCAAAUCAGGCCUUUUCUCUCGCUCCCUCUCCCUCUGUAGUCCUCUAAUGCCCCCGAACCAGCCUGGAGGGGAUAUUAUUAUAUUAGAGCCUGGUGUUACUGUGGGGAGGACGCCUGGUGCUGGCAGUUUAGUGUGCGACUGUGUUUGCGUGCGUGUGUGUGUGCGUGGCAGCCAGGGUCCCUCUGGCCACAUCAUCAGCGUGUGUGAGUCAGCCACAGCCUGUUCAAACAUGCACCCUGAGCUGCCAGCCCCAAUACACUUUGUCUCGCUAACACACACACAUGCUCACUGGGUCCAGGUAUCCUGUAGAGAAGGGGAAAACACCAGAGCUGACAUAUGUGUUUGAAUAUUGUCAGCGACUCCAUACGUUUGGAUUUGUUCGUCUUGAACAAUAAUAAACUCCAGAAUCCAACUUUAGUUUCCAUACGAGCACAUUGAGCCUUUUGCGUUAAGAGAACAUGCAUGUGAUGUAGAGUGCCCCCCCUCCCCCAGCCCACCCUGUAAUUUCUGCAGUAGUGCUUUUUUUUUCAACUAUCAGUCCUUUUGCACGUUGGAUGGGAAGAGGCAGGUCAUGAUUGCACUUUGUUACUGAGGAGGGCACUUUGGUCAACGAAACGGGUACUUUGAAACAAACCAGUUGCAAAUGAGAUCAGCCUUUUCCUUCAGUGUGUGAUGGUGAAGUCGAGCUCCUUCGCUGGUUUCGUUCAGGUUUUGACAACAAGCUGCCAAAAAAGAAAAGAGGAGACGAGUGUCGAUCUCUACAAGAGAAGCCAGGCAGGUCCACACACACAAAAAAGAGUAAAUCAAUCCAUGUAACUGAAUGCACUUGAAUUUAGUUGUAAAAAAUCUAGUGAUUGGUUUUUUUGUUUGUUUUUCUUUUGUUUUUUUUUCGUCUUAAUGUAAAGUAAGGGGAUAGAAGGAGGAGGUAGACAAGUGGAAAGAGCGCUGUGUGCGUGCAUACAUGCAUUUUUAUUGUUUUAUUUUUUUUGCAUGCAUGUGCACAAGCAUGCAUUGCUGGCUGGCAGGCUGAAGGGUCUCAGGACAACGCUGGAUAAACAAACUUGGUGUCUACCCCAUCUGUUCACCAGCUACUCUAAAAUCUACAUGUGUUCUCGGAGGAACUGCAGUGAUAAUAGGUCCGCGGUACCACAGGAGCGAAAAUACCAUAUUGUAGAACAACACAUUGGACAGUUGCUUGUUUACUUCACGGCUCUCUUGUUGCAGAUUUGCAUAACUCUUUGUUUACCCUUGUUGGCCAUUGUCAGGGUUUGGCCAGGUCUUGAGAGUUAGUUUCUAUUUUUGUUGUUUCGUUAUGAUAAAGAUGGGGUUAAUUAUUGCACAGUUUGACUCCUGCAGGCAAACCGAUGUAAGCGGGGCAGUCUAAUGUCUUGUGAUCUUCAUGUAUCGUGGUACUUGGCUUGGACUGCCUAAACCCACUUAUCUUGACGUGGCAGAAGUUUUACCUGUCAAGACCCGUGGGUCAUCUUAAACACAAUGUUUCAUUGGACCUUAAUGUUUCCCCAAAUGUCUUAUGUUGUUUGUUGAUUAACCAAAGUUUUUUGCCCUCCAUCUUAGUCUACUGUAAACAAGAGAUAUUGAAAGUAUGUCUAUAAUUUUUCCAGGCUGGGCCUCCCUGACUAAGCCACACACAGAUGCCCUUCUCUGGAAUACAUAUGCAGAAAUGUGUGUCUACUUACUUGAGUUUGCUUUCUCUCACUCUUUGUAUCCUUGUGGAAAAUAGAAUUUGAGGUGUAAGGAUGUAUAGCCUUUUGUUUCUGUCUACACUCGUUUUUCUUAAAAUAACGUGUUGUGCUACAGCUAUUUUUUUUUUCUAAUAAUUAUACGUGGGUGUGAGUGUGAGUGUGAGUGUGAGUGUGCGCGUGCGUGUGUUGUGUGUGUGGUCAUGGUUUUGGGAUGUUGUGCCAGGAAGGUGGGGCUAAUGGGUGCUUGGGUGGGGUUAUGGAUAAAAGCCUGAUAGCACUGGAAGUGGUGCUUUAGCUGAAAGAGCAAAAGUUUGCACUAAUGUUAAAUGUCCUUGUCCUGCUUAUGGGAAAAGGACAGGGGACCUCAGAAAGGCCUGCGAGUUUCCAUGAGCACAGAGCAGUGUGGUUAAUACUCAGUGGUCUCAUUAAGAGUCCAUCCAACCCCUCCGUAGAAAUAAUCAUGUAUAGUAUAUUCAAAAUAUACAGACGUCCAGCAACAAUAAACACCAAAGGAGAAAAAAACUGCUUUCAUUUAAGUCACUGGGCAUUUUAAGCUACCAAUGUAAUGUUUGAUUAUUACUUUUACUGUUUAAUCUGAAGGCUCUUAAAAAGAGAUUUGGGAUUUUUUUUUUUUUUUUUUGUCUUUUUGAUAGAAGUCAAUCAUACAUGCUCUUUAUACAUGAAAAUCUAAAUAUAGAAAAUUUAGGCAAGCAGCAAAUCUUCUCUGAAAAAACAAAAAAAACUACUCGUUCCUGAUGAUGGCUCAGAUGCAAUGUUUGACGAUGCCACAGAUACUCAUUCCAGUUCUUUGUCAUUCUGAGAUUUUUGUCUUAUGUUGAGUCCACUGACGGAUUAUCGAUCCUAAAAUCUGAUGUGUUUUUUAAAUACUUUUGUUACUGCUGAAUUGGAUGAUUUCCAUUUACCUUCUGCUGUUUGAGCUGAGUUUAAAUGUUCUCUGGUUGAGACAGACGGUGACUUUGUGGCCUUGACUGGGCAGUGCUGAGCUCAUGGUGGUGUGUGUGUGUUUUCAGACGGUAAUGUCAUGCGGCGUGGGGCUGAGGCUCACUCCCACCAGGUGGAUUGUGCAGACACAAGGGCCACAGUGUGCCUUAUGUGGACAGGAAUAAAAAAUUUUAAAAAACUCUAUUUUUUUUAUUUUUAUUUUUUUUACCAUUUAAACACUUUUCUUGUAACAUUGAAACCAAAUUGUUAAAGCUGAUUGGCUCGUACUAAAACGAUAGUUAGUACUGAAUGAACUGAUAUAUUAGUGUCUCUCUCUGCCUCCGUGGCUCCACAGCUGGUGUGUCCCCAGCCUCAGCCCCAGGCCAAGGUUACUCUGACACAGGCUGCACCAAGACAGUCUCAGAACUUCAUUGCAACUGUGUUUUGUUUUGUUUUUUCCUUUUCUUUCAAAUGGACCUUGAAAUGUUAUUUUUUUUCUGUGCUAUUAUCAAAGACUUUUUGUAAAUCUAUCUGAGAAGGCCAUAAAACAAAGACAAUAACAAGCACGAUAACUGCAAAAAUCAAACAAAGCAGAAUGGGGUGACUGUUAAUAUGGUGAUAUGGCGACUCGUGGCAGCAGAAAGGGGGCUGUUUGCUUUGCUUCGUCAUUUUGCUGCACACCUGAUUUAUUUUUUUGCACGUUUUCCAUCAGGCUGUCGAAGCAGGGCAAGCUGAGCGCAGCAUAUGCAGUACGGCAGUAUGCACAGCGUGGCUCUGGCACUUACACAGACAGCCCUGGGUCCUUCAGAGAGGCAGGCUGCUGUCUGUUGGCUGCUCUCAGCCAAGCGGGGACAGUUUGCACUUGGAGUCUUUCUCUGUCUCUGGAGAUACAAAGGUUGGCAUACAGGGAGGAGCAAAUCCAGGUGGUAGGAGAGGGCUGAAUGUUGUUUUCAGGGAUGAGAGCAGGAAGCCCAGGUAACUGUUCAGUGUUGGUCCUCUACGCUGAUGGGAAAUACGUGGCCUAAGAAACGUAACACAAAAGAGGUCACCGCAGAGUUCACAUUGGGGAACUGCAACCAUCAGAAUGUUGCAUAUCUCUUUUGUCUCUAUGUAAGUACUACUCAGGUGGAAAAUUCACUGCUAUGCAUUGGGUUUCAGUGUCUGCUCAGUUGAUCGUAUGUCUAAUCAAAUUCUGUGUUCUUGUUCUGUCUUUUCUUUCUUCGUCAUACAAAUAUUUACCGUAAUAAUUCCCAGAAAGGUACUGGCAUGAACAGUUCCCUCUUUGUAAAGUGGAUGCGACCAACCUGUUUCUCCAUCUAAUAUUGAUCCAGUGAAUUGUUAGUUGGAGGGAAGGAAGCCACUUGGGAUUCAGUCUUAUUAGUCGGACUGUAGCGUGCUUGAAAAGACAUGGGGUUGGAAAAGCACAGGGGAGGGGGGUUUGCGUGUUCUCUCACUUUCUUCUCCCAUCGCUCUCCCUCUCUGUGGACUCGUAGUCAACAUCUUUGCUGCCGACUGGCUUUUGAUCAAAGAUCACACACCCUCAGCAGGGGGAUUGGCAAGGGAGGGAGGUGUGGAUGAGGUAUGGAAGAGGAGACAUUUUCACUUGUUGGUAACGUAAACCAGUUUGGGAUACAUUCCAUAACUUCAUACUGUGAUUCCCACUUUUUAGCAAGGUCGUGCGUCUGAGGAGGGACAAGGAAGUGUUAGACAUUCUGCGGAUGGCUGUUUCUGUCCGUCUGUCUAGCCUCUUUAUCCCACUACUAUGUGACAGACAGACAUGUAGACAGAUAGUUUAAAAGGCCCCGGUGUAGCACUAUCAAGCUGCCUUUUAUCAGCUUCUGCGAUUGUAACAAAAGCACUUUGCGAAAGGCCAUCCUGAAAUUGUGUGCUUUUAUUUCAUCCUUAUCAAUAUUGUUUUGGUUAUUUUGUCCCUGUCUUUUUGUUUUCUCAAUGCAACUGAUUAUUUAAAUGCAAAAACUAUAUAAGAAAAAAAAAAACAAGAAAAACUUGAAUAUUUGGUAUCUACAAUGAAGAUGGCUGUCGCCUCAUCACAAACAAACACAUCUCUGUUAUAUGUACCUGUUUUGCAGCUUGUUGCAUAGUCACGCAUUGGUGAUGGUGGCGGGGGUACGGGACAAACCUCCCCCCCACCUGCUCUCUGUUCGCUGUCUGGGAUCUUUUGGGGAGAAAGGUGAUUUGAUUUAAUUUCUGGAGACUCUUUAUUGAAACAGAAACCUGUAUAACAGUUGCAAAGCUUUCUGAGAAGGCUCGCUGUGCUGAAUGUUAAACAUGCAUUGUCGUAUCUACGACGAAUCAAGAUUACUGCAGUAGAGCGGAAAGAAUACUAUCGAUCAUAAUAAGCAUUCAUUAAAUUUAUAGUUCAGUAAAUGGUUUAACGUGGGAGAGAAGACAAAUAGGCUACUAUUUAUAGAUUGAGUUUAACUGUGAUUACUAUAAUUCUUUAUAGAGUUGGGGGUUUUUUUUGUUUUUUUCUGAUGUACAUUUUAAAGUGACCCAGUUCUCAAAUCUGGACAUUUCAGUGAAAAUCUACACAGAAUCACACGAAGCAGAAAACAGCUGCUCCACAUGUGUCUGUGUGUGUGUGUGUGUGUGUGUGUGCGCUGUUUUUUUUUUUUUUUUUCUUUCAUUCCUGUUGCUGGGCACAUGCAUCGCUCUGUGUAUCACAAAUUUAUCCCAGAGGUGGAAUACCUGCUCACUUCUACCAUUAACUCCAGUGACAGCGACGAGAAAAUAUAAAUAGACAUAUUCAGAGUGCAGCAGAUGUUUUUCUCUACAUGAUUCAGUGUGGAUUUUUAUUCCAUAACCUCUUUUGUUUUUCUGCUCAUUGCUAAGAAAUCUGUCAGUGUGUAUCUGUUGGAAGCUGCAGGGUGAACUAUAGGUGAUUUUUUUUUUCUUCUUCAGAGAAUUUGCACUUUUUGGCAACACAAAGAAAUUGUACAUGAGACCACUAAAUCCACAGUCUAAACCAUAUAAUUCCAUUUUGUGUCUUUUAUUUGUUCUGUUCUUCUUCCUUUUUUUUUUUUUUUUUUUUUAAUAUAUCCAAAAAUGUCUGGCAUCUGGUUGUCUGGUUUAAAGAAUAUAAAAUCUUUCUAUUAAAAAUGAUGGUUGCAAAGCUUUGUGUGGAUAAUUGUGUGUGUGUGUGUGUGUGUGUGUGUGUGUGUGUGUGUGUGUGUGUGUGUGUGUGUGUGUGUGUGUGUGUGUGUUUUGAUACAAGUUUGUGUAAACGGUGCUCUUAAGUGGAAGUGUUAUAAAACAAAGGCCUGUUAAUU